rnacentral:rRNA from 1 species
UACGUAGGGGGCAAGCGUUGUCCGGAAUCAUUGGGCGUAAAGAGCGUGUAGGCGGCCCGAUAAGUCCGCUGUGAAAGUCCAGGGCUCAACCCUGGGAUGCCGGUGGAUACUGUCGGGCUCGAAUCCGGAAGAGGAGUGUGGAAUUCCUGGUGUAGCGGUGAAAUGCGCAGAUAUCAGGAGGAACACCAAUGGCGAAGGCAGCACUCUGGGACGUGACUGACGCUGAGACGCGAAAGCGUGGGGAGCAAACAGG